CUUUCAUUGUCUUGACUUUCCUCUUCCACUGGUGUUCUAUACUUGAUCUUGGAAUCAUUUAUUUACUUAAAUGCAUCUACUGGCCUUUGACAUUUCACGAAGGACCAUAGAGGCAUGGUUUAUUCGUAGUGCGCUGCUACUUUUCACAGCUAUUGGUAUUUCUAUCAUCUACAUUUCAUGGAAAUGCAUGAAAAACAUUAAGGUAAGAUUUAUAUGGGGGCUCUUGAUGGCACAGUGUGUUAAAGCGCUGAGCUGUUGAACUUGCUGACCAAAAGGUCCCAGGUUCAAAUCCCAGGAGUGGAAUGAGCGCCCGC
rnacentral:lncRNA from 11 species